CAGAGAAGUGUAGUGAGAGAUGGAGUGUACAUUUACGAAUUGUUUUUAACUUCAUUAAGUGUAUAAAGUGUUUCUAUAUUCGAUUCUCAUCUUUUUGAAUAGCUGACAUAUCAUUACAACCGAUUAUUCCCAAAAGGGAAAAAAUAUAAACACUUCGAGGGUAGCUAAAUAAAAGGAUAGAUUCCACCACCUCAACGUGGGAACGUCGAUCUGUGUCUAAGUGUGAAGCAAGAAAUCAUUCAAAGGAAUAAGAAAGACCAUAUCAAGGAAAUUCAAAGUAAUAGGAAGGAAAUUAAGAAGGUUCCAGAGACUUCUUCAAGGUAUGUUAAUCGGGUUGUCAUACUGUAGGCGCUUUCACAAUUUCUGUAAAUUUAACUUCAGAGAAGCCAUUACUUGUAAGUAAAUUCAAUUUACCGAUUAA